GGGUUGUGAGGUUAAGCGACCAAGCGUACACGGUGGAUGCCCUGGCAGUCAGAGGCGAUGAAGGACGUGCUAAUCUGCGAUAAGCGCCGGUAAGGUGAUAUGAACCGUUAUAACCGGCGAUUUCCGAAUGGGGAAACCCAGUGUGACUCGUCACACUAUCAUUAUGUGAAUACAUAGCGUAAUGAAGCGAACCGGGGGAACUGAAACAUCUAAGUACCCCGAGGAAAAGAAAUCAACCGAGAUUCCCCCAGUAGCGGCGAGCGAACGGGGAGGAGCCCAGAGCCUGAAUCAGCAUGUGUGUUAGUGGAAGCGUCUGGAAAGGCGCGCGAUAGAGGGUGACAGCCCCGUACACAAAAGCGCAUAUGCUGUGAGCUCGAUGAGUAGGGCGGGACACGUGGUAUCCUGUCUGAAUAUGGGGGGACCAUCCUCCAAGGCUAAAUACUCCUGACUGACCGAUAGUGAACCAGUACCGUGAGGGAAAGGCGAAAAGAACCCCGGCGAGGGGAGUGAAACAGAACCUGAAACCGUGUACGUACAAGCAGUGGGAGCCCCACCACUAAGCCAGUGGUGAACUCCACAUACGCAUCCUUUGCGGAAGGUGCGGUUAACGGAGCGUAAGCGACGUUCAACCUCAAAAGAAGCAGAGGGGGCUUAGUGGUGGGGUGACUGCGUACCUUUUGUAUAAUGGGUCAGCGACUUAUAUUCUGUAGCAAGGUUAACCGCAUAGGGGAGCCGAAGGGAAACCGAGUCUUAACCGGGCGUUAAGUUGCAGGGUAUAGACCCGAAACCCGGUGAUCUAGCCAUGGGCAGGUUGAAGGUUGGGUAACACUAACUGGAGGACCGAACCGACUAAUGUUGAAAAAUUAGCGGAUGACCUGUGGCUGGGGGUGAAAGGCCAAUCAAACCGGGAGAUAGCUGGUUCUCCCCGAAAGCUAUUUAGGUAGCGCCUCGUGAACUCAUCUCCGGGGGUAGAGCACUGUUUCGGCUAGGGGGCCAUCCCGGCUUACCAACCCGAUGCAAACUGCGAAUACCGGAGAAUGUUAUCACGGGAGACACACGGCGGGUGCUAACGUCCGUCGUGAAGAGGGAAACAACCCAGACCGCCAGCUAAGGUCCCAAAGUCAUGGUUAAGUGGGAAACGAUGUGGGAAGGCCCAGACAGCCAGGAUGUUGGCUUAGAAGCAGCCAUCAUUUAAAGAAAGCGUAAUAGCUCACUGGUCGAGUCGGCCUGCGCGGAAGAUGUAACGGGGCUAAACCAUGCACCGAAGCUGCGGCAGCGAACGUAUCACUUAAAACGAUUCAGAAGAUUACGAUUGACGGAGCGAAGCGACGUCAAAGCGUAUACAAAGUCGAGUCGGUUUAAGGAUACGUUCGUUGGGUAGGGGAGCGUUCUGUAAGCCGU
rnacentral:rRNA from 1 species